AUACGUAGGGGGCGAGCGUUGUCCGGAAUGAUUGGGCGUAAAGGGCGCGUAGGUGGCCCGGUAAGUCUGGAGUGAAAGUCCUGUUUUUAAGAUGGGAAUUGCUUUGGAUACUGUCGGGCUUGAGUGCAGGAGAGGUAAGUGGCAUUCCCAGUGUAGAGGUGAAAUGCGUAGAGAUUGGGAGGAACACCCGUGGCGAAGGCGACUUACUUGACUGUAACUGACGCUGAGGCGCGAAAGCGUGGGGAGCAAACAGGAUUAGAUACCCUGGUAGUCCACACUGUAAACGAUGAAUGCUAGGUGUAGGGGUUAUCGACCCCUUCUGUGCCGCAGUCAACACAAUAAGUAUUCCGCCUGGGGAGUACGGCCGCAAGGUUGAAACUCAAAUGAAUUGACGUGG
rnacentral:rRNA from 1 species